rnacentral:rRNA from 1 species
GACGAACGCUGGCGGCGUGCUUAACACAUGCAAGUCGAACGGAAAGGCCUCUUUCGGGGGGUACUCGAGUGGCGAACGGGUGAGUAACACGUGAGUAACCUGCCCUUGACUUUGGGAUAACUUCAGGAAACUGGGGCUAUACCGGAUAGGAGCUCCUGCUGCAUGGUGGGGGUUGGAAAGUUUCGGCGGUUGGGGAUGGACUCGCGGCUUAUCAGCUUGUUGGUGGGGUAGUGGCUUACCAAGGCUUUGACGGGUAGCCGGCCUGAGAGGGUGACCGGCCACAUUGGGACUGAGAUACGGCCCAGACUCCUACGGGAGGCAGCAGUGGGGAAUAUUGCACAAUGGGUGGAAGCCUGAUGCAGCAACGCCGUGUGCGGGAUGACGGCCUUCGGGUUGUAAACCGCUUUCGCUCAUGACGAAGCUUUGUGUGACGGUAGUGGGUAAAGAAGCACCGGCUAACUACGUG